GUUGUAUGGUUAAGUGACUAAGCGUAUACGGUGGAUGCCUUGGCAGUCAGAGGCGAUGAAGGACGUAGUAACUUGCGAAAAGCGUUGGCGAGCUAGUAACAAGCAUUUGAGCUAACGAUAUCCGAAUGGGGAAACCCACUCACAUAAGUGAGUAUCACAUACUGAAUACAUAGGUAUGUGAGGCAAACCCGGGGAACUGAAACAUCUAAGUACCCGGAGGAAAAGAAAUCAACCGAGAUUCCCCUAGUAGCGGCGAGCGAACGGGGAUUAGCCCUUAAGUCUAUAGGGUGUUAGUGGAAUGAGUUGGAAAGCUCAGCGGCACAGGGUGAUAGCCCCGUACAUGAAAACUAACUAUAGAUGAAAACGAGUAGGACGGGACACGUGACAUCUUGUCUGAACAUGGGGGGACCAUCCUCCAAGGCUAAAUACUCCUGACUGACCGAUAGUGAACCAGUACCGUGAGGGAAAGGCGAAAAGAACCCCUGUGAGGGGAGUGAAAUAGAACCUGAAACCGUAUACGUACAAGCAGUGGGAGCGGUCCUUGAGACCGUGACUGCGUACCUUUUGUAUAAUGGGUCAGCGACUUACAUUUUGUAGCAAGGUUAAGCGAAUAGCGGAGCCGUAGGGAAACCGAGUGUUAACUGCGCGUUUAGUUGCAAGGUGUAGACCCGAAACCGAGUGAUCUAGCCAUGGGCAGGUUGAAGGUUGAGUAACAUCAACUGGAGGACCGAACACACGUAUGUUGAAAAAUGCGGUGAUGACUUGUGGCUGGGGGUGAAAGGCCAAUCAAACUCGGAGAUAUCUGGUUCUCCUCGAAAGCUAUUUAGGUAGCGCCUCGUACGAAUACCAUUGGGGGUAGAGCACUGUUAAGGCUAGGGGGUCAUCCCGACUUACCAACCCUUUGCAAACUCCGAAUACCAAUGAGUACUAUACGGGAGACACACGGCGGGUGCUAACGUCCGUCGUGAAAAGGGAAACAACCCAGACCAUCAGCUAAGGUCCCAAAGUUAUUGCUAAGUGGGAAACGAUGUGGGAAGGCUUAGACAGCUAGGAUGUUGGCUUAGAAGCAGCCAUCAUUUAAAGAAAGCGUAAUAGCUCACUAGUCGAGUCGGCCUGCGCGGAAGAUUUAACGGGGCUAAGCAAUACACCGAAGCUAUGGGUUUGCUAGUUUACUAGCAAGCGGUAGAGGAGCGUUCUGUAAGCCGUUGAAGGCGAAGGGGUAACCCACGCUGGAGGUAUCAGAAGUGCGAAUGCUGACAUGAGUAACGAUAAAGGGAGUGAAAAACUCCCUCGCCGAAAGACCAAGGUUUCCUGUCCAAUGUUAAUCAGGGCAGGGUAAGUCGACCCCUAAGGUGAGGCCGAAAGGCGUAAUCGAUGGGAAACGGGUUAAUAUUCCCGUACUUCUACUAACUGCGAUGGAGAGACGGAGAAGGCUAGGCUAGCGCGGCGUUGGUUGUCCGCGUUUAAGGCUGUAGGCUGUUCACUUAGGCAAAUCCGGGUGAACGCAUUAAAUUGCAAAGCUGAGAGUUGAUGACGAGUCCCCAAGGGGAUGAAGUAGUUGAUGCCAUGCUUCCAGGAAAAUCUUCUAAGCUUCAGGUUAGUAGGAAUCGUACCCCAAACCGACACAGGUGGUUGGGUAGAGAAUACCAAGGCGCUUGAGAGAACUCGGCUGAAGGAACUAGGCAAAAUGGUACCGUAACUUCGGGAGAAGGUACGCUGCCGGCGGUGAUGGGACUUGCUCCUUAAGCUGCUGGCAGUCGCAGAUACCAGGUGGCUGCAACUGUUUAUCAAAAACACAGUACUGUGCAAACUCGCAAGAGGAAGUAUACGGUAUGACGCCUGCCCGGUGCCGGAAGGUUAAUUGAUUGGGUUAUCUUCGGAGAAGCUCAUGAUCGAAGCCCCGGUAAACGGCGGCCGUAACUAUAACGGUCCUAAGGUAGCGAAAUUCCUUGUCGGGUAAGUUCCGACCUGCACGAAUGGCGUAAUGACGGCCACGCUGUCUCCAGCCGAGACUCAGUGAAGUUGAAAUUGCGGUGAAGAUGCCGUAUACCCGCGGCUAGACGGAAAGACCCCGUGCACCUUUACUAUAGCUUGGCACUGAACAUUGAACCUACAUGUGUAGGAUAGGUGGGAGACUUUGAAGCAGAGACGCUAGUUUUUGUGGAGUCAACCUUGAAAUACCACCCUUGUAGUUUUGAUGUUCUAACUCUGGCCCCUGAAUCGGGGUGAGGACAGUGCCUGGUGGGUAGUUUGACUGGGGCGGUCUCCUCCCAAAGAGUAACGGAGGAGCACGAAGGUUGGCUAAGUACGGUCGGACAUCGUACGGUUAGUGCAAUGGCAUAAGCCAGCUUAACUGCGAGACAUACACGUCGAGCAGGUACGAAAGUAGGUCAUAGUGAUCCGGUGGUUCUGAAUGGAAGGGCCAUCGCUCAACGGAUAAAAGGUACGCCGGGGAUAACAGGCUGAUACCGCCCAAGAGUUCAUAUCGACGGCGGUGUUUGGCACCUCGAUGUCGGCUCAUCACAUCCUGGGGCUGAAGUCGGUCCCAAGGGUAUGGCUGUUCGCCAUUUAAAGUGGUACGCGAGCUGGGUUCAGAACGUCGUGAGACAGUUCGGUCCCUAUCUGCCGUGGGCGUUGGAUGAUUGAAGGAAGCUGCUCCUAGUACGAGAGGACCGGAGUGGACGAACCGCUGGUGUUCGGGUUGUUAUGCCAAUAGCAUUGCCCGGUAGCUACGUUCGGAAUCGAUAACCGCUGAAAGCAUCUAAGCGGGAAGCGAGUCCUAAGAUGAGUCAUCCCUAGGAAUUUAAUUCCUCUAAAGAGCCGUUCGAGACUAGGACGUUGAUAGGCAGGGUGUGUAAGCGUUGUGAGGCGUUGAGCUAACCUGUACUAAUGACUCGUGAGGCUUAACCAUACAACCCAGAUGGGUUUGU
rnacentral:rRNA from 1 species